UACGAAGGGGACUAGCGUUGCUCGGAUUGACUGGGCGUAAAGGGCGCGUAGGCGGUUUGCAUAGUCAGACGUGAAAUUCCUGGGCUUAACCUGGGGGCUGCGUUUGAUACAUGCAGGCUUGAGUUCGGAAGAGGGUCGUGGAAUUCCCAGUGUAGAGGUGAAAUUCGUAGAUAUUGGGAAGAACACCGGUGGCGAAGGCGGCGACCUGGUCCGAUACUGACGCUGAGGCGCGAAAGCGUGGGGAGCAAACAGG
rnacentral:rRNA from 1 species